rnacentral:rRNA from 1 species
UGAACGCUAGCUACAGGCUUAACACAUGCAAGUCGAGGGGCAGCAUUUCAGUUUGCUUGCAAACUGGAGAUGGCGACCGGCGCACGGGUGAGUAACACGUAUCCAACCUGCCGAUAACUCGGGGAUAGCCUUUCGAAAGAAAGAUUAAUACCCGAUGGUAUAAUCAGACCGCAUGGUCUUGUUAUUAAAGAAUUUCGGUUAUCGAUGGGGAUGCGUUCCAUUAGGCAGUUGGUGAGGUAACGGCUCACCAAACCUUCGAUGGAUAGGGGUUCUGAGAGGAAGGUCCCCCACAUUGGAACUGAGACACGGUCCAAACUCCUACGGGAGGCAGCAGUGAGGAAUAUUGGUCAAUGGGCGCAGGCCUGAACCAGCCAAGUAGCGUGAAGGAUGACUGCCCUAUGGGUUGUAAACUUCUUUUAUAUGGGAAUAAAGUUUUCCACGUGUGGAAUUUUGUAUGUACCAUAUGAAUAAGGAUCGGCUAACUCCGUGCCAGCAGCCGCGGUAAUACGGAGGAUCCGAGCGUUAUCCGGAUUUAUUGGGUUUAAAGGGAGCGUAGGUGGACAGUUAAGUCAGUUGUGAAAGUUUGCGGCUCAACCGUAAAAUUGCAGUUGAUACUGGCUGUCUUGAGUACAGUAGAGGUGGGCGGAAUUCGUGGUGUAGCGGUGAAAUGCUUAGAUAUCACGAAGAACUCCGAUUGCGAAGGCAGCUCACUGGACUGCAACUGACACUGAUGCUCGAAAGUGUGGGUAUCAAACAGGAUUAGAUACCCUGGUAGUCCGCACAGUAAACGAUGAAUACUCGCUGUUUGCGAUAUACAGUAAGCGGCCAAGCGAAAGCAUUAAGUAUUCCACCUGGGGAGUACGCCGGCAACGGUGAAACUCAAAGGAAUUGACGGGGGCCCGCACAAGCGGAGGAACAUGUGGUUUAAUUCGAUGAUACGCGAGGAACCUUACCCGGGCUUAAAUUGCAUUUGAAUAUAUUGGAAACAGUAUAGCCGUAAGGCAAAUGUGAAGGUGCUGCAUGGUUGUCGUCAGCUCGUGCCGUGAGGUGUCGGCUUAAGUGCCAUAACGAGCGCAACCCUUAUCUUUAGUUACUAACAGGUCAUGCUGAGGACUCUAGAGAGACUGCUGUCGUAAGAUGUGAGGAAGGUGGGGAUGACGUCAAAUCAGCACGGCCCUUACGUCCGGGGCUACACACGUGUUACAAUGGGGGUACAGAAGGCAGCUACCUGGUGACAGGAUGCUAAUCCCAAAAGCCUCUCUCAGUUCGGAUCGAAGUCUGCAACCCGACUUCGUGAAGCUGGAUUCGCUAGUAAUCGCGCAUCAGCCAUGGCGCGGUGAAUACGUUCCCGGGCCUUGUACACACCGCCCGUCAAGCCAUGAAAGCCGGGGGUACCUGAAGUACGUAACCGCAAGGAGCGUCCUAGGGUAAAACUGGUAAUUGGGGC